rnacentral:rRNA from 1 species
CACGUAGGCGGGACAAUCAGUUUGAGGUGAAAACUUGCGGCUUAACCGUAAGCCUGCCUUGAAUACUGUUGUUCUUGAGUUCGGAAGAGGGAAGUGGAAUUCCUGGUGUAGCGGUGAAAUGCGUAGAUAUCAGGAAGAACACCGGUGGCGAAGGCGGCUUCCUGGUCCGAUACUGACGCUGAUGUGCGAAAGCGUGGGGAGCGAACAGGAUUAGAUACCCUGGUAGUCC